ACCAACAAACUGGCCCUGGUUGCAAGCGAGGCUGCUCGCAUGCGCAGCGAUGACAUCGAAGUUUUCGUCAUCACGUCCGGCCGACAAGGCGGCCAGUUGGUCAACGACAUUGUGUCCGAGCCCAAAGAUCAGCACAUCAUUCAGCUUCCUGGCCUGGAUUUCUCCAACCACGCCUACGCUAGCGACAAGAUUGUGGAGUUUUUGUGCGGAGAUAACAGUGCCUGGCUGUAAAGAUUUCAUCUGUUACUUCCCUGAUGGAGGAAAGUGUUUUCCGUCCUUGUGUCAAACACGACGCUGUGUACAAGGGUCAGCUGUUCGAUUCUGAUGUGCCAGCGCGUCUUUCCCGUGACACAAAUUUUAGUGACUCAAGCGCGUGCAGUGGAAAACCUCGUAACUUGAUAAUUCCUUUUCUAUGCUUAGUGCCUACGUGCAGGUCGCGUUGGCUGGUCCAAGGGCAGACUAUUUCCACGUGACUAUUCGCUGAGGGUCAAGGCGUUGUAUAUGUUAAUAAUGAAGUGGCGAUCCUGAUCUCGUCUCUUUGUAAUGUCUGUAUUCUGAAUAAACUAAAAUGACUUUUAA